UACGUAGGGUGCAAGCGUUAAUCGGAAUUACUGGGCGUAAAGCGUGCGCAGGCGGUCCGCUAAGACAGAUGUGAAAUCCCCGGGCUUAACCUGGGAACUGCAUUUGUGACUGGCGGGCUAGAGUAUGGCAGAGGGGGGUGGAAUUCCACGUGUAGCGGUGAAAUGCGUAGAUAUCAGUCGGAACACCGGUGGCGAAGGCGGCUUCUUGGGCCCUACCUGACGCUGAGGCGCGAAAGCCAGGGGAGCGAACGGG
rnacentral:rRNA from 1 species